rnacentral:rRNA from 1 species
UACGUAGGGGGCCAGCGUUGUCCGGAUUUCUUGGGCGUAAAGAGCGUGUAGGCGGCCAAGCAGGUCCGCUGUGAAAACUCGAGGCUCAACCUCGAGACGUCGGUGGAAACCGUUUGGCUAGAGUCCGGAAGAGGAGAGUGGAAUUCCCGGUGUAGCGGUGAAAUGCGCAGAUAUCGGGAAGAACACCCGUGGCGAAGGCGGCUCUCUGGGACGGUACUGACGCUGAGACGCGAAAGCGUGGGGAGCGAACAGG